CACACACAAGAGAACCUUUUCCAUCACAUAAACUACCCUUCAUAAGUUCAAUUACCGUUUUUACUCUUUCUUCCAUCCAUAUUUUCACUUCCUCACAAACUUUUAAAACACAUUUCUUAUUCAUCAUGGAAAUAGAAAGUAGUUCUACUUAAACUUCGAGUCUCGAAGCUGUUACUUUUCACACUCCUCAAGCCACCAUCCUUUCCAUGUCUCCAUCAAGGACCCGUAUAUAAUGUUUUUUUACGUUACCUUUGUUUCUCCUCUCUUUUUGAAAUGCUAAUAAUUUUUUUGGUUUAUUUUUUCAGCGGAUCCAUUUGUUUCUCAAAAAAUUGUUGUUAAGCUAUUGGAGUUUGAGGGGAUGCGAAGAAUAAUAAUGCAAGAUUUUGUAGCACUCGAAAAAAGAACGGAAGAACUUACGACAUCAUUUUACAACAGUUUCUUGUUGUCGGAACUUUUUUCUUUUUCAAUCUCAGAAAUCUUACAUGCGAUUUAGCUUUCAAGAUCCUUGUAAUGAUCAUAUUCCUUUUUUUCCUUAACAUUUUUCGUGCUAAAAGAGAAGGCAACAGAAAAUUCGUUCUCCUGCAAGAGUGGAAUGAGUGUCUAGUGAGUAAUCGCACUAGCUUGAUUUAUUAAGCUAGUGUAGUAAGAGAUGUAGAACAAGAGAGGGGUGUAGUCGAGAGUGAGAAUGCGAAAGAGAAUGAGGAAUCUUUAAUCGCGAGAAGUGUAUUUCUUCGAUGAAUUUGAGCUAUCGAUUCAAAUCCUUAAAUGGGAUUUGCUACCGCACAACAAAGAUACGAGUCAAUAGUACAAUUUGUGAUAAUAGGCACGGGUGACUCAAGGUAAGGCUAAAAGCCUUUUCUUUAGGCCCCCAAAAUUUUGAGGCUUCAAAAAUUUUAAUAGUAAACUAUAUGAUUUCAACUUCCCUUG
rnacentral:lncRNA from 1 species